AACAUUAUGGGAUUCCUGACACUGUACACUGCAACCUUGCAUCUCACCCAGCUGGCUCCUUCCCCCCGUGAUGCUUCGGUCUUGUCAUGGUUGGUGGGAGAGGCACUCUUCUUCUUCCUCUUCUUCUUCUUCUUCCCCUAAAUAACAACCUUCCUUUGAGCUUCGGACUGAAAAGGCCAGCCGUGAGGAGGGUCUCGGAGCCGCAGCGCUUGGGUUCGGCAGCGGCAAGGGAGGCUGAAGAUUCACCGUUCCUUUCUUCAUCAAGCUUCAGAUUUUGUAGCGAGCCCUAGUUCGCGGGACUUGGUGAACCCGACUCUGUAGCUCGGAGCAAGGAGAAGAUCAAGUCUAGGAUCAGGGGUUGUCUGGGAGUCAUAUUGUCUGCUUCUGUCAGUAUCGCUGUAUUAUCCCUUUUGUGAGUGUAAGGCUUGUAUGCUGACUGUAUUUGUGUUUUGCAAACUGUUGGGUUGUAUUUGUAUUCUGUAGGGCUGCUAAAGCCCGUACUUGUAGUAUUUCAGUUUUCAGUAUCAUAUUCGUGCUUC